rnacentral:lncRNA from 1 species
GGCAGCUGUUGAACGGAAUUCUUGGAAUCCUAUGAUGCUUAUGACCUAAUUUUACAUUAAAAUGAAAUUGGAAGAAUGGGGACCAUGUGUGAUUUUCUUGUUUGUUCAAAUAGCUGUACUUUUAUGGAAGCGUUCUACUUUUGGAAGAAGGGCAAACCAUGGUUCCGUGCUCUUAUCAGGAAGUGGAGACCUGGGGAUGUUUGAGGAAGGAGGAUGGGGAGAAUUUUUGGUCUGUGAACUGGGUGCUGAGAGAUUAAAGACAGCUGGUGCACACCCCAGCAGCAGAGAAGGAGCGCGUUUCUGGCCCUUGAUCUGAGGAUGGGAGCUCCAAAGACGCAAAGGAGCUCCACUUCCCUGACUGCCUCCACUGGGGCAAAAGUGACAUUCAUCAGCUCCACGUGGAACUUUCCCAUGAAGCAAAUGGUAAUUUGCAA